UGCAAUUUCAUCUAUUUCCCUUUCCCUCACUCUCUGUGUGUGUAAAUACGUGUGUGUGUGUGUGUGUGUGCGUGUGUGUGUGUAUUUGUGUGUGUGUGUGUAUGCAUGUGUGUGUGUCAGCCUGUGUCAGGCAGCACCUCUAGGGGAAAACCCCACGCACCGUCUGUCUCAAACUGAUACAAAACACCCAGGAGUGGGAGGAGAGGAGGAGGUGGAGAGGAGAGAAGGGGAGGAGAUGAGAAGGUGGAGAGGAGAGAAGGGGAGGAGAGGAGAGGAGGAGGUGGAGAGGGGAGAAGGGGAGGAGAAGAGGAGGUGGAGAGGAGAGAAGGGGAGAAGUAGGAGGAGGUGGAGAGGAGAGAAGGGGAGAAGGAGGAGGUGGAGAGGAGAGAAGGGGGAGGAAGUGGAGAGAAGAGAAGGGGAAAAUGAGGAGGAGGGGGUAGAGAGGAGAGAAGGGGAGAAGGAGGAGGAGGAGGAGGAGAGGAGAGAAGGGGGAGAAGGAGGAGGAGGUGGAGAGGAGAGAAGGGGAGAAGGAGGAGGAGGUGGAGAGGAGAGGAGAGAAGGAGGAGGAGGUGGAGAGGAGAGGAGAGAAGGAGGAGGAGGAGGUGGAGAGGAG
ensembl:lncRNA